ACUACUGUAACAGUUCAGUGUGUUAUAGUGUCUCUAGGAGGUGAACUACUGCAACAGUUCAGUGUGUUAUAGUGUCUCUAGGAGGUGAACUACUGUAACAGUUCAGUGUGUUUUAGUGUCUCUAGGAGGUGAACUACUGAAACAGUUCAGUGUGUUAUAGUGUCUCUUGGAGGUGAACUACUGAAAAGUUCAGUGUGUUAUAGUGUCACUAGGAGGUGAACUACUGUUACAGUUAAGUGUGUUAUAGUGUCACCAUCCAGGAGGUGAACUACAGUAACAAUUCUGUGUGUUAUAGUGUCUCUAUCCUGUUGGUGAACUACUGUAACAGUACAGUGUGUUAUAGUGUCACUAGGAG
rnacentral:lncRNA from 1 species